UACGGGGGGAGCAAGCGUUGUUCGGAUUUACUGGGCGUAAAGGGCGCGUAGGCGGCCAGUGCAAGUCAGUUGUGAAAUCUCCGAGCUUAACUCGGAAAGGUCAACUGAUACUGCUCGGCUAGAGUGCGGAAGGGGCAACUGGAAUUCUUGGUGUAGCGGUGAAAUGCGUAGAUAUCAAGAGGAACACCUGCGGCGAAGGCGGGUUGCUGGGCCGACACUGACGCUGAGGCGCGAAAGCUAGGGGAGCGAACGGU
rnacentral:rRNA from 1 species